UCAGGACGAACGCUGGCGGCGUGCUUAACACAUGCAAGUCGAACGAGAAUCUACUGAAAGAGUUUUCGGACAAUGGAAGUAGAGGAAAGUGGCGGACGGGUGAGUAACGCGUGAGGAACCUGCCUUGAAGAGGGGGACAACAGUUGGAAACGACUGCUAAUACCGCAUGAUGCAUAAGGGUCGCAUGAUUCUUAUGCCAAAGAUUUAUCGCUUCAAGAUGGCCUCGCGUCUGAUUAGCUAGUUGGCGGGGUAACGGCCCACCAAGGCGACGAUCAGUAGCCGGACUGAGAGGUUGAACGGCCACAUUGGGACUGAGAUACGGCCCAGACUCCUACGGGAGGCAGCAGUGGGGGAUAUUGCACAAUGGGGGAAACCCUGAUGCAGCGACGCCGCGUGGAGGAAGAAGGUUUUCGGAUUGUAAACUCCUGUCGUUAGGGACGAUAAUGACGGUACCUAACAAGAAAGCACCGGCUAACUACGUG
rnacentral:rRNA from 1 species